GACGAACGCUGGCGGCGUGCUUAACACAUGCAAGUCGAACGGAAAGGCCCUGCUUUUGUGGGGUGCUCGAGUGGCGAACGGGUGAGUAACACGUGAGUAACCUGCCCUUGACUUUGGGAUAACUUCAGGAAACUGGGGCUAAUACCGGAUAGGAGCUCCUGCUGCAUGGUGGGGGUUGGAAAGUUUCGGCGGUUGGGGAUGGACUCGCGGCUUAUCAGCUUGUUGGUGGGGUAGUGGCUUACCAAGGCUUUGACGGGUAGCCGGCCUGGGAGGGUGACCGGACACAUUGGGACUGAGAUACGGCCCAGACUCCUACGGGAGGCAGAAGUGGGGAAUAUUGCACAAUGGGCGGAAGCCUGAUGCAGCAGCGCCGCGUGCGUGAUGAGGGCCUUCGGGUUGUAAACCGCUUUCGCCUGUGACGAAGCGUGAGUGACGGUAAUGGGUAAAGAAGCACCGGCUAACUACGUG
rnacentral:rRNA from 1 species